GGAACCGUGCCUGAAUUCCUAAGGACCACUUUGAUAGAGUGGCUCAUGAGGGUUAAAGUCCCCCCAGUUCCU
rnacentral:tRNA from 1 species